rnacentral:rRNA from 1 species
AACAAGGUCUCCGUUGGUGAACCAGCGGAGGGAUCAUUAUAGAGUUUUCUAAACUCCCAACCCAUGUGAACUUACCAUUGUUGCCUCGGCAGAAGCUACCUGGUUACCCUACCUUGGAACGGCCUACCCUGUAGCGCCUUACCCUGGAACGGCUUACCCUGUAACGGCUGCCGGUGGACUACCAAACUCUUGUUAUUUUAUUGUAAUCUGAGCGUCUUAUUUUAAUAAGUCAAAACUUUCAACAACGGAUCUCUUGGUUCUGGCAUCGAUGAAGAACGCAGCGAAAUGCGAUAAGUAAUGUGAAUUGCAGAAUUCAGUGAAUCAUCGAAUCUUUGAACGCACAUUGCGCCCAUUAGUAUUCUAGUGGGCAUGCCUGUUCGAGCGUCAUUUCAACCCUUAAGCCUAGCUUAGUGUUGGGAGCCUACUGCUUUUGCUAGCGGUAGCUCCUGAAAUACAACGGCGGAUCUGCGAUAUCCUCUGAGCGUAGUAAUUUUUAUCUCGCUUUUGACUGGAGUUGCAGCGUCUUUAGCCGCUAAACCCCCCAAUUUUUAAUGGUUGACCUCGGAUCAGGUAGGAAUACCCGCUGAACUUAAGCAUAUGGCGCUUUUCUUAGGUCCUGCUGCCUUAGUACGGCGAGUGAGCGGCAACAGCUCAAUUUGAAAUCUGGCCCUCGGGUCCGAAUUGUAAUUUGUAGAGGAUGAUUUUGGUGCGGUAUCUUCCGAGUUCCUUGGAACAGGACGCCUUAGAGGGUGAGAGCCCCGUACGGUUGAAUGCCUAGCCUCUGUAAAUCUCCUUCGACGAGUCGAGUAGUUUGGGAAUGCUGCUCUAAAUGGGAGGUAAAUUUCUUCUAAAGCUAAAUAUUGGCCAGAGACCGAUAGCGCACAAGUAGAGUGAUCGAAAGAUGAAAAGCACUUUGAAAAGAGGGUUAAAUAGCACGUGAAAUUGUUGAAAGGGAAGGAUUUGUGACCAGACUUUUUCUGGGCGGAUCAUCCGGGGUUCUCUCCGGUGCACUUUGCCCAGUAAAGGCCAGCAUCGAUUUUCGGCGGCGGAUAAAAGCAGUGGGAAUGUGGCUCCCUACGGGGAGUGUUAUAGCCCAUUGUAUAAUACGCUGCUGGGGAUCGAGGUACGCGCUUCUGCAAGGAUGCUGGCGUAAUGGUUAUCAAUCACCCGUCUUGACCA